UCCGGCAGCUAGCUUCAUGCCAGCAGAUAUAGCACUCUGCAACUUUCACAUGAUCGUUCACUAAAGCUAAGGAGGACUGCGUCAGGUCGGUACCUAGAUGGGAGACCACAUGGGAAAGCUAGGUUGCUGCCAGAA
ensembl:rRNA 5S_rRNA 5S ribosomal RNA